AAGCGGUCCUGACUAUGGCUCUUCUUGGACGAUGUCUCAUCCCUCUCUACUGUCAGGUUGUCAUGGGACACCCUCAGCUUCCGAUAAUGAAUCCAACUUCCUCCUGAGUGUCUUCUUGUGCUUGUGGCCAUCUAAAAAAAGAGUCACAGGGAUGGUGAUGUGGCAGCCCAGGUCAUGACACCGAAGCAAUCGCUUGAAGGCCACAUCCUGGAGACGAA